AAAUCCAGCCGGAUCAUCGCCCGAUUUUUGUCGGGAGGAAAGUCCGAACACCAAAGGGCAUCGUGCUUCCUAACGGGAAGGCAACUGCUUGAGGAUGUCCAAUUCCAAGCGGUUGACAGCAAGUGCAACAGAAAAUAAACCCGCCAAUGGCCUUAGGGCACAGGUGAGGGGUGAAAUGGUGGGGUAAGUGCCCACCGGCGUAUUAGGCGACUGGUACGGCCAGGUAAACCUCACGCGGUGAAAAACCAAGCAGUGUACGUUGCCUUGGCAACACGGGUGGCCCGCCCGAAUGUACACGGGUAGGUUGAUAGAGGCGGCCAGUAAUGACCGUCCCAGAUAAAUGAUGAUCUCCUCGCCAUUUGCGACCAGUGACGGGCAGACAGAAUUCGGCUUACAGGCUGGGCAUAGAG
rnacentral:RNase_P_RNA from 1 species